AUUGAACGCUGGCGGCAGGCCUAACACAUGCAAGUCGAGCGAGCGGCGGACGGGUGAGUAAUGUCUGGGAAUUGCCCAGUCGAGGGGGAUAACAUUUGGAAACGACUGCUAAUCCCGCAUACGCUUGGCUUGCAUAGGUGGUAUUAGCUAGUUGGGGGGGUAAUGGCUCAUCACGGCGACGAUCCCUAGCUGGUCUGAGAGGAUGAUCAGCCACACUGGAACUGAGACACGGUCCAGACUCCUACGGGAGGCAGCAGUGGGGAAUAUUGCACAAUGGGCGAAAGCCUGAUGCAGCCAUGCCGCGUGUGUGAAGAAGGCCUUCGGGUUGUAAAGCACUUUCAGCGAGGAGGCGUUACUCGCAGAAGAAGCACCGGCUAACUCCGUGCCAGCCGCCGCGGUAAUUC
rnacentral:rRNA from 1 species